rnacentral:lncRNA from 1 species
GGAAGAAGGAAUCAGGAGGCAGAGCACAUGGUUAAAGCAUGAGAUGUGAAACCAGGAAGAACCAGGUCUGAACCUUAGCUCCACCAGUGGUAGCUUCAAACCUUGGUCCUUUCUGAGCCUGCUUCUUCAACCGUAAGGGAACGCUACACUUCCUUAGAAAUUAAGAGUGUGUGCUACACUGCUUUACCAGAGCAAGGCCAAAAGCAGCUUCAAUUAUGGUACAACUGUGUGAAGACACAAUGCAAAACCACUCAAGAAUGCUCACUCAAAUGGAUUUUUACCAUGGAACUCGGAAACGGGACCCAGAAAGUUGUUUUCUCAAGUGGAUGGAACAACACAAGCAAUCAGUAUCCUGAAACAGGCCCUGUUCCAACAAACUGACCCAGAAAGCAAGUAUGAGGACUCCUGUUUCCCUACGUACUCACUACUACAGCAAAGAUAUCAAACAUUGAUACCCACCAAUCUCUGGAUGGAAAAACAAAUCUCAGGAAUCGCUUGCAGGAGGCUCUGCACGUUCCUCAGAUUCAGAGUCGCUGUCCUUUUGCCUGUGAAGCUCCUCACUUUCAGAGUCACUAGCAUUAAGAUUUAAGGGCUCAUCGUUCUCAGAGUCUGUCACAUGAUGUCCUUUGGGGAGGCCAUCUUCUCGAUCACUAGUUUCAUUCUGAAAAAUAAAGUGAGAAAAAAUUAGGAAAGUGCAAAAAAAAAAAAACCAUUAAU